rnacentral:rRNA from 1 species
UAGUCCACGCUGUAAACGAUGAUCACUAAGUGUUCGGCCUUCGGGUUGAGUGCUCAAGCGAAAGCGAUAAGUGAUCCACCUGGGGAGUACAUCGGCAACGAUGAAACUCAAAGGAAUUGACGGGGGCCCGCACAAGCGGUGGAGCAUGUGGUUUAAUUCGAUGAUACGCGAGGAACCUUGCCAGGGCUUAAAUGUAAGUUGCAUUAGGCAGAGAUGCUUAUUUCUUCGGACCACUUACAAGGUGCUGCAUGGUUGUCGUCAGCUCGUGCCGUGAGGGUCAGGUUAAGUCCUAUAACGAGCGCAACCCCUGUUGUUAGUUGCCAGCAUGUAAAGAUGGGAACCCUAACAAGACUGCCGGUGCAAACCGUGAGGAAGGUGGGGAUGACGUCAAAUCAUCACGGCCCUUACGUCCUGGGCUACACACGUGCUACAAUGGUAGGGACAGAGAGCAGCCACUUCGCGAGAAGGAGCGAAUCUAUAAACCCUAUCACAGUUCGGAUC